rnacentral:lncRNA from 1 species
UUUCAUUCAGAUUUUUAAAAAAAAAAUUAAGAGACAAGCUUUGAACUCUCUCUGGGGGUCACGAUUUUCGGCCACAAGGCCACCGUGGCAGCCGUCGGUCGCCGGUGACGGCUCCGCCGUACACCGUGGCCGGAGAUUAUAGAAAGAGACCCUUCUGGUCGUUUUACUCCCCUUGACCAGGAUCUGGUGUCAAAACACCCGAAAAGCCCUCGCAAAAGCCAAAAAAACCAAGGAAACCUUUCGGUUUCGUCUUCUCCGACUGUCAAAAGGUAAAAAGCUUUAGAUUUUUACAUGUAUGUAUCUAUAUACGCACACAACACGUGUAAAAGGCUAUCAAAAAUGAGAAUACCUAAACUGUUUUCGAUUCUCUGACAUCUCGUGUAAUACAACGUUUUUUUUGUCUUAAAAAAAACCCCCACAUUUUUACAUUCGAUUUCCUCAUCUUAUAGCCGAACAGGGUACAAUAUUUUACAUUUUUUCUGUUGUUUUGGCUUCUGUUUCUUGUUGUCCUUGCUUUUGUCUUCUCUGUUUGCAGGCGUUGGAAAUCAACGGGGCAAGGUUUGGUCAUUUCAGUGUAAGGCCAGAAGAAAGGGGUUAGGGCUCGGCGUUGGACGCGCUGACAAGGCCCGUGGGGGAGCGGCGCGGCGCAAAGGAGGCUGGCUGUGGCGCAAGCAUUAGGUCUAGGGUUGGGGUUUUCUGAAAACCUUAGCGUUUUGGGCCUGUUGGGCCUGUUGGGCCUGUUCUUGCGGUUGGGCCACAGGUCUUUGUAAUUGGACUGUAAAACUGGACUAUUUAUUGGGUUUUUAUUUUUGUUUAGUUUCGGUUUGUUUGUUGUUUAGUGGACCCGGGCUAAAUUGGGCCUCUACAAUGACUAGAAGCUAUCUGCAAAAUCCCAAGAAAUCUGUAAAUAAAUAAAAGAACUAGAAGAGAUUAUGAAUAAUUCUCAAAAAGGUUGCUCUCAAUUGUUUAGGUCUUAUUUCGACCUGAAAUUUGUGUGUACAUUAACCUUAAUACUCUAUUAUAGUGAAGAGAAAUUUGAGCCAAAUUCUAUGAUUUUGA